rnacentral:rRNA from 1 species
CCCGCUGAACUUAAGCAUAUCAAUAAGCGGAGGAAAAGAAACUAACAAGGAUUCCCUUAGUAACUGCGAGUGAAGCGGGAAAAGCUCAAAUUUGAAAUCUGGCGGUUCUGCCGUCCGAGUUGUAAUUUAGAGAAGUGUUACCUGCGCUGGACCGUGUACAAGUCUCCUGGAAUGGAGCGUCAUAGAGGGUGAGAAUCCCGUCUUUGACACGGACUCCCAGGGCAUUGUGGUACGCUCUCAACGAGUCGAGUUGUUUGGGAAUGCAGCUCAAAAUGGGUGGUAAAUUCCAUCUAAAGCUAAAUAUUGGGGAGAGACCGAUAGCGAACAAGUACCGUGAGGGAAAGAUGAAAAGAACUUUGGAAAGAGAGUUAAACAGUACGUGAAAUUGCUGAAAGGGAAACGCUUGAAGUCAGUCGCGUCGUUCGGGAUUCAGCUUCAGCUUCUGCUGGGUGUACUUCCUGUUCGACGGGUCAGCAUCAGUUUUGGCCGGUGGAUAAAGGCUCGGGGAAUGUGGCAUCCUUGGAUGUGUUAUAGCCCUGGGUCGCAUACAUCGGCUGGGACUGAGGAACUCAGCACGCCGCAAGGCCAGGUUUCGACCAUGUUCGUGCUUAGGAUGCUGGCAUAAUGGCUUUAAUCGACCCGUCUUGAAACACGG